GGGUGCAGCUGACAGCCCAGAGGGCAGGGAGGGCCGGGAGGACUGGACACAGUGGUAACCAGAAGCACAGCUACUGCGGUGGCUCCAGAGGACCCCGACUUCAGUGCUGGACCACACCAAGGGCUGUUGGCAUCCAAGCUCCUGACCGUAGUGGAAGCCUCGAUACUGCCUCCCCCUCUGCAUCAGCAUCUGGCAGUCAUCAGCCAUCCGUCAUCUGAUCAGAAUCAUCUCCAUUUCUACAACUGGCCCCUGGCCAGUACCUCUGCUCUCCUCCCACACCCAGCGCCAAGCCUGGGGCACGGCUACCACAUGGCUGCCCAUUCAAGUCCCCCACUGCCCUGGACUCUGCACAGGCCCAGGCUGACAGGACCACAGCUUCAACCUCCUGGGAACAGAGUGCGAAUGUGUCUGAACACUACCUAUUUCCCGGGCAGACAAAGGACCUGUCACCUAAAUUAGCCUUUAACUCCUCAAUUAGGUAAAACAUGUCUACCCCUGAAGAUGUGCCCUGGUGCACUGACUCCCUGAAAGUUCACAGCAUGAAGAAGGAAGGGGAGAAAUCUCAAAGUCCACUUCACUGGCUGGGUGGGUGGGUGGUCCCGCUUGGAGGCUGAGGAGCUUCGACAGCCUUAAAUGAAAGGCAUUCAGAAGGCAAGACAAUGAAACUAGGGUCAGCAUGUCCUGAAAUGUCACUCGGAAAUGAGCUGCCUAUAAAAAUCAGGAUCACGCCUACACAUUUAAGUGUGUUUCAGCAGAACAAACUUGCCUGGUGUAAAAGAAACUACUCCAUCUUGAGAGACUGCUAGGUAGCCGCUGGUUUUGCCUUCCCCUCCUGCCACAUCACAUUAAUGCCAACUUGCCAGGUCCCAUACUCCUCCCUGAAACUGGAAUGCCAUCGUUCUUCAGAUGAGCUCAUCUCUUAGGAAGAUACACACAGAACUUCUGCCCAUGCUUUAAUUAGAGAAGAAGCCAAUGCAAAUUCCCAUCUGGCUCCAAACCUGCCUGACCAAAGGCAGACACUGUCAGCUGGGUGGCCCAAGCUGGGGAGGGCAGAAAAUCCAGACAGGAGCCAGAUUUUGGGAGACAGGAGAGACUGAAGGCCAAAGAACACCAUGAGUUUUAUUCUAAGUUGGAAUAUAAAGAAAAUAUUUUACACACAAACUAAGGACAGUGCUACAUGGUUAGCGCAGGAAAUAUGAGGCGGAUCUCGGUGCCUAUUGCAUUUCCACAUCAUUCACCCACCCAUCCAUUCUUUCAUUCAAUAUUUAUUGACUGUUACGUGUUCAGCAUGAUGCUCGCCCUACAGAGGCGGAAAUUAUACCAGAAAUCUGGUUCUUGUCUUUGUUUCCCCAGUACUUGGGGUUGAGCUCAGGGUCUUCUCACUCAGCUACUUUCCCAGCCCCUUUUAAUUUUUUUUCUUUUUAAUUUUGAGUCAAGGUCUUGCUAAGUCACUAGGUUGCCCAGGCUGGGCUCAAUCUUUUGGUCCUCCCAUCUUAGCCUCCCACAGGCAUGGGCUACCACAAUCAGCUUGGUUUUUAUGUUAACAAGCUUCAUCCAAGAGGAAAGAGAUAUUAAACCUUC
rnacentral:lncRNA from 1 species